rnacentral:rRNA from 1 species
UGGGGAAUAUUGGACAAUGGGCGCAAGCCUGAUCCAGCCAUGCCGCGUGAGUGAUGAAGGCCCUAGGGUUGUAAAGCUCUUUCACCGGUGAAGAUAAUGACGGUAACCGGAGAAGAAGCCCCGGCUAACUUCGUGCCAGCAGCCGCGGUAAUACGAAGGGGGCUAGCGUUGUUCGGAUUUACUGGGCGUAAAGCGCACGUAGGCGGACUAUUAAGUCAGGGGUGAAAUCCCGGGGCUCAACCCCGGAACUGCCUUUGAUACUGGUAGUCUUGAGUUCGAGAGAGGUGAGUGGAAUUCCGAGUGUAGAGGUGAAAUUCGUAGAUAUUCGGAGGAACACCAGUGGCGAAGGCGGCGCACUGGCUCGAUACUGACGCUGAGGUGCGAAAGCGUGGGGAGCAAACAGG